rnacentral:rRNA from 1 species
GCUUAACGCGAAGAACCUUACCAGGUCUUGACAUCCUCUGCCAACCCUAGAGAUAGGGCGUUCCCCUUCGGGGGACAGAGUGACAGGUGGUGCAUGGUUGUCGUCAGCUCGUGUCGUGAGAUGUUGGGUUAAGUCCCGCAACGAGCGCAACCCUUGAUCUUAGUUGCCAGCAUUCAGUUGGGCACUCUAAGGUGACUGCCGGUGACAAACCGGAGGAAGGUGGGGAUGACGUCAAAUCAUCAUGCCCCUUAUGACCUGGGCUACACACGUGCUACAAUGGAUGGUACAAAGAGCUGCGAACCCGCGAGGGUAAGCCAAUCUCAUAAAGCCAUUCUCAGUUCGGAUUGUAGGCUGCAACUCGCCUACAUGAAGCCGGAAUCGCUAGUAAUCGCGGAUCAGCAUGCCGCGGUGAAUACGUUCCCGGGUC